rnacentral:rRNA from 1 species
UACAGAGGGUGAGCAAGCGUUAAUCGGAAUUACUGGGCGUAAAGCGUGCGUAGUCGGUCUGUUAAGACAGAUGUGAAAUGCCCGGGCUUAACCUGGGAACUGCCAUUUGUGACUUGCAUGGCUAGAAUCUGGCAGAGGGGGGUAGAAUUCCACGUGUAGCAGUAGAAAUGCGUAGAUAUGUGGAGGAACACCGAUGGCGAAGGCAGCCCCCUGGGUCAAGAUUGACGCUCAUGCACGAAAAGGCGUGGGG